CGGAGUGACGCCGCGUGGGGGACGAAGGCCUUCGGGUUGUAAACCCCUGUCAGAGGGAAAGAAGGGUGUCGACGCGAUAACCGCCGGCACUUGACGGUACCUUCAGAGGAAGCCCCGGCCAACUCUGUGCCAGCAGCCGCGGUAAGACAGAGGGGGCAAGCGUUGCUCGGAAUCACUGGGCGUAAAGGGCGCGUAGGCGGGAUGGCAAGUCAGUCGUGAAAUCUCUCGGCUCAACCGAGAAACGUCGGCUGAUACUGCCGUUCUUGAGGGAUGCAGAGGAGACUGGAAUUCCCGGUGUAGCGGUGAAAUGUGUAGAGAUCGGGAGGAACACCGGUGGCGAAGGCGGGUCUCUGGGCAUCUCCUGACGCUGAGGCGCGAAAGCGUGGGGAGCAAACGGGAUUAGAUACCCCGGUAGUCCACGCUGUAAACGAUGACGACUAGGUGUGGGGUGGUUCAGUCCAUUCCGUGCCGCAGCUAACGCAUUAAGUCGUCCGCCUGGGGAGUACGGCCGCAAGGUUG
rnacentral:rRNA from 1 species